rnacentral:rRNA from 1 species
GACGAACGCUGGCGGCGUGCCUAAUACAUGCAAGUCGAGCGAAUCAGUGGGAGCUUGCUCCCUGAGAUUAGCGGCGGACGGGUGAGUAACACGUGGGUAACCUGCCUGUAAGACUGGGAUAACUUCGGGAAACCGGAGCUAAUACCGGAUACGUUCUUUUCUCGCAUGAGGAGAGAUGGAAAGAUGGUUCUGCUAUCACUUACAGAUGGACCCGCGGCGCAUUAGCUAGUUGGUGAGGUAACGGCUCACCAAGGCGACGAUGCGUAGCCGACCUGGGAGGGUGAUCGGCCACACUGGGACUGAGACACGGCCCAGACUCCUACGGGAGGCAGCAGUAGGGAAUCUUCCGCAAUGGACGAAAGUCUGACGGAGCAACGCCGCGUGAGCGAAGAAGGCCUUCGGGUCGUAAAGCUCUGUUGUUAGGGAAGAACAAGUACGAGAGUAACUGCUCGUACCUUGACGGUACCUAACCAGAAAGCCACGGCUAACUACGUGCCUGCCGCCGCGGUAA